GGGGAUAUAGCUCAGUGGUAGAGCACUUGCCUAGCAAGCACAAGGCCCUGGGUUCGGUCCCCAGCUCCG
rnacentral:tRNA from 1 species